AUAUGGAUAGCUCAGCUGGUUAGAACGUGGUGCUGAUAACACCAAGGUUGCCGGUUCAAUCCCCUUACGGGACAGCUCCAUAU